UUUACCUACGGGGCGCAGCAGUGGGGAAUAUUGGGCAAUGGGCGCAAGCCUGACCCAGCAACGCCGCGUGAAGGUAGAAGGCUUUCGGGUUGUAAACUUCUUUUCUCAGGGACGAAGAAAGUGACGGUACCUGAGGAAUAAGCCACGGCCAACUACGUGCCAGCGGCCGCGGUAAUACGUAGGUGGCAAGCGUUGUCCGGAUUUACUGGGUGUAAAGGGCGUGUAGCCGGGUUGACAAGUCAGAUGUGAAAUCCUGCGGCUUAACCGCAGACCUGCAUUUGAAACUGUUGAUCUUGAGUACUGGG
rnacentral:rRNA from 1 species